rnacentral:tRNA from 1 species
UGCCCAGGGAUGGGAAACGAAUCCACAGUGUUCCGCUUACCGGGCAGAUGCCAUGUCCACUAGGCUACUUGACUCCCUGGGC